rnacentral:rRNA from 1 species
CCCUUAGAUGUUCUGGGCCGCACGCGCGCUACACUGAUUCAUGCAACAAGUUUUGUCCUUGGCUGAUAGGCCUGGGUAAUCUUUGAACGUGAAUCGUGAUGGGGAUAGAUGAUUGCAAUUAUUCAUCUUCAACGAGGAAUCCCUAGUAAACGCAAGUCAUCAGCUUGCAUUGAUUACGUCCCUGCCCUUUGUACACACCGCCCGUCGCACCUACCGAUUGAAUGGUCCGGUGAAAUCUUCGGAUCUGAGAGAUGUCUGAUUAAUUUCGGACGCCUUUUGGAAAAGUUGCUUAAACCUUACCAUUUAGAGGAAGGUGAAGUCGUAACA